rnacentral:rRNA from 1 species
UGAGUCCGAGGAACUAAGGUUCCAAAGUGAUGCGAGACAUACUUCCCAGAAAAGCCCGAACCACGUUAAUUUCUAAUUACCUGUACCCGAAACCGACACAGGUAGGAAGGUAGAGAAUACUAAGGGGCGCGAGAUAACUCUCUCUAAGGAACUCGGCAAAAUUACCCCGUAACUUUGGGAGAAGGGGUGCCACCGCAAGGUGGUCGCAGUGAAUAGGCCCAGGCGACUGUUUACCAAAAACACAGGUCUCCGCCAAGUCGCAAGACGCAGUAUGGGGGCUGACGCCUGCCCCGGCCGGAAGGUUAAUUGAUGGGGUUAGCUUCGGCGAAGCUCUUGAUCGAAGCCCCGGUAAACGGCGGCCGUAACGAUAACGGUCCUAAGGUAGCGAAAUUCCUUGUCGGGUAAGUUCCGACCUGCACGAAUGGCGUAAUGAUGGCCACACAGUCUCCACCCGAGACUCAGUGAAAUUGAAAUCGCAGUUAAGAUGCUGCGUUCCCGCGGCUAGACGGAAAGACCCCGUGAACCUUUACUACAGCUUUACACUGGACUUUGAACCUAUCUGUGUAGGAUAGGUGGGAGGCUUUGAAGCCGAAUCGCCAGAUUUGGUGGAGCCAACCUUGAAAUACCACCCUGGUAUGUUUGAAGUUCUAACCCAGGCGCUACAACGUCGGGGACAGUGUAUGGUGGGUAGUUUGACUGGGGCGGUCUCCUCCCAAAGAGUAACGGAGGAGCACGAAGGUACCCUAAGUACUGUCGGACAUCGUACGGUUAGUGCAAAGGCAUAAGGGUGCUUGACUGCGAGACAGACAUGUCGAGCAGGUACGAAAGUAGGUCUUAGUGAUCCGGUGGUUCUGUGUGGAAGGGCCAUCGCUCAACGGAUAAAAGGUACUCCGGGGAUAACAGGCUGAUACCGCCCAAGAGUUCAUAUCGACGGCGGUGUUUGGCACCUCGAUGUCGGCUCAUCACAUCCUGGGGCUGAAGUCGGUCCCAAGGGUAUGGCUGUUCGCCAUUUAAAGUGGUACGCGAGCUGGGUUUAGAACGUCGUGAGACAGUUCGGUCCCUAUCUGCCGUGGGCGUUUGAGAAUUGAGGGAAGCUGCUCCUAGUACGAGAGGACCGGAGUGGACGAUCCUCUGGUGUUCCGGUUAUCACGCCAGUGGUAUUGCCGGGUAGCUAUGAUCGGACAGGAUAACCGCUGAAAGCAUCUAAGCGGGAAGCCCCUCCCAAGAUAAAUUCUCACUAGACUCUUGAAGUCUCUGAAGGGCCGUUGAAGACUACAACGUUGAUAGGCUGGGUGUGGAAGUGCAGCAAUGUAUGAAGCUAACCAGUACUAAUUGCCCGUGCGGCUUGAC